GUUGGGGUUAAGGUUAGGAUUAGUAAUGUUAUGGUUGGGGUUAAGGUUAGGAUUAGUAAUGUUAUGGUUGGGGUUAAGGUUAGGAUUAGUAAUGUUAUGGUUGGGGUUAAGGUUAGAGUUACUAAUGUUAUGGUUGGGGUUAAGGUUAGAGUUACUAAUGUUAUGGUUGGGGUUAAGGUUAGGAUUAGUAAUGUUAUGGUUGGGGUUAAGGUUUGAGUUACUCAUGUUAUGGUUGGGGUUAAGGUUAGAGUUACUCAUGUUAUGGUUGGGGUUAAGGUUUGAGUUACUCAUGUUAUGGUUGGGGUUAAGGUUAGAGUUACUCAUGUUAUGGUUGGGGUUAAGGUUAGAGUUACUAAUGUUAUGGUUGGGGUUAAGGUUAGAGUUACUAAUGUUAUGGUUGGGGUUAAGGUUAGGAUUAGUAAUGUUAUGGUUGGGGUUAAGGUUAGGAUUAGUAAUGUUAUGGUUGGGGUUAAGGUUAGGAUUAGUAAUGUUAUGGUUGGGGUUAAGGUUAGGAUUAGUAAUGUUAUGGUUGGGG